rnacentral:rRNA from 1 species
CGUGCAUAGCACAUUCAAGUCGAACGGAGUUAUUUGAAUUAAUCCUUCGGGAAGCGUUUGGAUAACUUAGUGGCGGACGGGUGAGUAACGCGUGAGCAACCUGCCCUUUUGUGUGGAAUAACGUUUGGAAACGAACGCUAAUACCGCAUAACGCAUAGAGGUCGCAUGGUCUUUAUGCCAAAGAUUUAUUGCAGAAGGAUGGGCUCGCGUCUGAUUAGAUAGUUGGUGAGGUGAGGGCUCACCAAGUCAACGAUCAGUAGCCGGACUGAGAGGUUGAACGGCCACAUUGGAACUGAGAAACGGUCCAGACUCCUACGGGAGGCAGCAGUGGGGAAUAUUGGGCAAUGGGCGAAAGCCUGACCCAGCGACGCCGCGUGAGGGAAGACGGUCUUCGGAUUGUAAACCUCUUUUAUAAGGGACGAAGUAUGACGGUACCUGACUAAGAAGCACCGGCUAAAUACGUGCCAGCAGCCGCGGUAAUAC